CAAUAGCGUAUAUUAAAGUUGUUGCGGUAAAAAAGCUCGUAGUUGGAUUUCUGUCGAACUGAUCGGGUCGCCUUUAUGAGGUUGUAUCUCGCUUCGGUUUGGCAUCCUCGUAGGGAACGUUGCUGCGCUUCACUGCGUGGUGCGGUAUCUACGACUUUUACUUUGAGGAAAUUAGAGUGUUCAAAGCAGGCCUACGCUCUGAAUACAUUAGCAUGGAAUAACACGAUAGGACUCUGGCCUAUCUUGUUGGUCUGUAGGACCGGAGUAAUGAUUAAGAGGGACAGUCGGGGGCAUUCGUAUUUCAUUGUCAGAGGUGAAAUUCUUGGAUUUAUGAAAGACGAACUACUGCGAAAGCAUUUGCCAAGGAUGUUUUCAUUAA
rnacentral:rRNA from 1 species